rnacentral:rRNA from 1 species
GUUUGAUCAUGUCUCAGAUUGAACGCUGGCGGCAGGCCUAACACAUGCAAGUCGAGCGCGAAAGGUCUUCGGACUGAGUAGAGCGGCGGACGGGUGAGUAACGCGUAGGAAUCUACCUGGUAGUGGGGGACAACUCGGGGAAACUCGAGCUAAUACCGCAUACGCCCUACGGGGGAAAGGUGGCCUCUAUUUAUAAGCUAUCGCUAUUGGAUGAGCCUGCGUUGGAUUAGCUAGUUGGUAGGGUAAGAGCCUACCAAGGCGACGAUCCAUAGCUGGUCUGAGAGGAUGAUCAGCCACACUGGGACUGAGACACGGCCCAGACUCCUACGGGAGGCAGCAGUGGGGAAUAUUGCACAAUGGGCGCAAGCCUGAUGCAGCGACGCCGCGUGGGGGAUGACGGCCUUCGGGUUGUAAACCGCUUUCGCCUGUGACGAAGCGUGAGUGACGGUAAUGGGUAAAGAAGCACCGGCUAACUACGUGCCAGCAGCCGCGGUAAUACGUAGGGUGCGAGCGUUGUCCGGAAUUACUGGGCGUAAAGGGCUCGUAGGUGGUUGAUCGCGUCGGAAGUGUAAUCUUGGGGCUUAACCCUGAGCGUGCUUUCGAUACGGGUUGACUUGAGGAAGGUAGGGGAGAAUGGAAUUCCUGGUGGAGCGGUGGAAUGCGCAGAUAUCAGGAGGAACACC